rnacentral:misc_RNA from 1 species
UUUCCGUAGGUGAACCUGCGGAAGGAUCAUUAUCGUAUAACCGAGGUGCGAGGGCAGUCGCUGACCCGAAAGGUCGUGCACGCCCGAGUGCCCUCACACACAUCCAUCUCACCCCUAUGUGCACCACCGCGUGGGUCCCCCUUUGGCUUGUUCGGAGGGGGGCUUACGUUUUCACACAAACUUUGUAUGCAGUGUAGAAUGUAUUUUUUGUUUUUGCGAUCACGCAAUCAAUACAACUUUCAACAACGGAUCUCUUGGCUCUC